rnacentral:rRNA from 1 species
AGUCAAUAGAUACCAGGUAGUCCACGCCGUAAACGAUGUCGACUUGGAGGUUGUGCCCUUGAGGCGUGGCUUCCGGAGCUAAACGCGUUAAGUCGACCGCCUGGGGAGUACGGCCGCAAGGUUAAAACUCAAAUGAAUUGACGGGGGCCCGCACAAGCGGUGGAGCAUGUGGUUUAAUUCGAUGCAACGCGAAGAACCUUACCUACUCUUGACAUCCAGAGAACUUAGCAGAGAUGCUUUGGUGCCUUCGGGAACUCUGAGACAGGUGCUGCAUGGCUGUCGUCAGCUCGUGUUGUGAAAUGUUGGGUUAAGUCCCGCAACGAGCGCAACCCUUAUCCUUUGUUGCCAGCGGUUAGGCCGGGAACUCAAAGGAGACUGCCAGUGAUAAACUGGAGGAAGGUGGGGAUGACGUCAAGUCAUCAUGGCCCUUACGAGUAGGGCUACACACGUGCUACAAUGGCGCAUACAAAGAGAAGCGACCUCGCGAGAGCAAGCGGACCUCAUAAAGUGCGUCGUAGUCCGGAUUGGA